rnacentral:lncRNA from 1 species
CAAAUAGAUAUCAAAGCUAAGAGAUUUCAGUUUGGUGACCUGUCGUUAUUGGCCACUAGGUGACGGUAUUGGUUCCUAAAUGAAUACGUCCUAAAUAGUUCGGCACUGCAAUGGUUUGGAACCAGGUGGACAGCAGGGGGCAGCCUUUCUUAACCCUGACGCCAGCCCUGAAAGCUCAGCUCUGGGAAGCACCACGAGGAGGCUUAGGACUGGAGACUCGCAGUCAGGGUUAAUACUGAGCACUGGAUUGCAUGGAAUGGAAAAGACAAUCUCUGGUGUUUGCGCUUGGCCUUGAAAACAACUGAGUUGUUAUCGCCCACUUGGAAACCCAUUUGGAAGAGGACAAGCCACCUUCUCCUCACUUGAGGGACAUAGAAAAGAUUUUGUCCCAUGCCACCCUUAUGAACAAAGCUCUUCCUCAGCUUAUCUUGAGUAAAAGUAAAAUGACUCUAACCCUCUGGAAAAAUAUCCUGAUUUCCCUAUAAUUACCUAGAGCCUUUAGGUUAGAUUUUCAUUCUUCUUACUGUAAUGUCACCAUGAGGAGCUCUUUUUCUCUCUCACUGAGGUGUCACCUGUGGGCAGAUCAGUAGUGACAUCCACCCUGAAACUGUACUUAUUAUACCUGAACCUGCUCGUUAGGAAAAAAAUACUGAAAAAAAAGACUUAAAAAUAUUAAAAAAAAAAAAAGACAGCUGGGUGGUGGUGGCACACGCCUUUAGUCCCAGCACUCAGGAGGGAGAGGCAGGCCGAUCUCUGAGUUGGAGACUAGUUCCAGGACAGGGUGCAAAGCGAC